CAGUCCCGCGGUAAUACAGAGGGUGCGAGCGUUAAUCGGAUUUACUGGGCGUAAAGCGUGCGUAGGCGGCUAAUUGAGUCGGAUGUGAAAUCCCCGAGCUUAACUUGGGAAUUGCAUUCGAUACUGGUUAGCUAGAGUGUGGGAGAGGAUGGUAGAAUUCCAGGUGUAGCGGUGAAAUGCGUAGAGAUCUGGAGGAAUACCGAUGGCGAAGGCAGCCAUCUGGCCUAACACUGACGCUGAGGUACGAAAGCAUGGGGAGCAAACAGGAUUAGAUACCCCAGUAGUCCCUGUCUCUUAUACC
rnacentral:rRNA from 1 species